rnacentral:lncRNA from 1 species
GGUAACUAAUAAGGUUUUUUCUUUAAAAAAAAGAACUGAAAAUUUUCUUUCGCAGCUAACCAGUCCCUCUAUUUAUAGUCAUUCACAAGACCUUACUAAUUAAGCUUAAUUAGCAUGUAGCACAAUUUAUGCCUAUCAUUAAAUAUGUGACAAAUGAGAAAAUGUGAGAAAGUGUUAUGUAAAUUAUAAACCUUUUUUUGUGUCAGGUUAACUUUGCAGUGAGUUUGUUUUACAAUUACAAACCCCCCCCCAAUUUUAUGUCUUUGUAGACUUGCUAUAAUUCAUAGUGGCAUACUUGUGACUUUUAAGGCACUAUCAAGAACUUUGUUCCUAAAUGAAUUUUGAAAGAAAAAUCACUAAGUUCUGGUAAGUUUAUGAAAAAAAUCAGUCUUAAUUAUUUAUACUUUUAGGUUUUUAAAAACCUUUGUUACUCAUAACCCUUGUGCUUUCUCACUGCAUGCCCCCUCCAACUAGAAAACUUUGCAUUCUGUAGUUCAUAUUACUUAAAUUUUAAAAAGGGCUGGGGUUGUGGCUCAGUGGUAGAGUGAUUGCCUAGCACACGUGAGGCACUGGGUUCGAUCCUCAGCACCACAUUAAAAAAAAAAAAAAAGAUACUGUGUUCACCUAAAACUAAAAAAUAAAUAUUAAAAAAAAGAGGGUAGGAAUGUGUGGAUCAGUGAUAGAGUACUGGAUUCAAUCCCCAGUAGCAAAACCACCACAAAAAGACAAAACAGAAAGACACUGAAUUUGCUUUCUUAAAAAUCCCUUGGGCUGGGGUAGUGGCUCAGAGGUAGAGUGCUCACCUAUCAUGUGUGAGGCACUGGGUUCGAUCCUCAGCACCACAUAAAAGUAAAAUAAAAUAAAGAUAUUGUGUUCACCUACAACUAAAAAUAAAUAUUAAAAAACCCCAUCCCUCCAUCUGUAGAGAACUACUGUUGUAUAAUCACACAUCAUCUAUGGCUCUUGCAAGAAUCUGUUGGAUUUUUUCCUUGUUUUCCAGCAUCAUCUUGCCAUUACAUGAACCUUUGAGAGAACUCUGUAUAUAGUUACAGAGUUAGCUGCUUGGGACUAUUGAGUGGGAUAUAUUUUGUGAUUAGUGGCAUUGACUGGAAUAAUUAUGAAUUAAUCCUUUAGGAAAGGACCUUCUAAACCCUUUGCCUUGAGGCUUUCAACCUAUGCUUGUGAAGAAAUCAAACGCUUUUAAAUGUUGGUUUUCCAAACAAAGAUAGAUUUGAUUUCUCAAGUAUUACUUGGAAUGUGUACUUAAUCUGAGAGUAUAUAAAAGUAACUAUGUCCAAAUAAUUUGCAGCAU